GAUCUUUUAGUAUAAAAUUAGUAUGAUUGAUUUCCAAUCAAUUGGUUUAAGGGUUA
rnacentral:tRNA from 2 species